rnacentral:rRNA from 1 species
AUUGAACGCUGGCGGCAGGCCUAACACAUGCAAGUCGAACGAGUGGCGGACGGGUGAGUAAUGUCUGGGAAACUGCCUGAUGGAGGGGGAUACCUACUGGAAACGGUAGCUAAUACCGCAUACCAUCAGAUGUGCCACGAUGGGAUUAGCUAGUUGGUGGGGUAACGGCUCACCAAGGCGACGAUCCCUAGCUGGUCUGAGAGGAUAACGAGCCACACUGGAAUGGAGACACGGUCCAGACUCCGACGUGAGGGAGUAGUGGGGAAGAUUGCACAAGGGGCGCAAGCCUGAUGCAGCCAUGCCGCGUGUAUGAAGAAGGCCUUCGGGUUGUAAAGUACUUUCAGCGGGGAGGCGUUACCCGCAGAAGAAGCACCGGCUAACUCCGUGCAAGCCGCCGCGGUAAUUC